CGACUUCAUGAAGCCGGAAUCGCUAGUAAUCGCGGGUCAGAAUACCGCGGUGAAUAUGUUCUUGAGCCUUGUACACACCGCCCGUCAAGCCACGAAAGUGGGGGGCAUCCGAAGUCGCCAAUGUAACCAUUAGGGACUAAGUGCCGAAGAUGAACUCCGUGAUUGGGACUAAGUCGUAACAAGGUAGCCGUAGGGGAACCUGCUGCUGGAUCACCUCCUUU
rnacentral:rRNA from 1 species